CAGUCGUACGCUUCUUUUUCCACCGGAGCUUGCUCCACCGGAAAAAGAAGAGUGGCGAACGGGUGAGUAACACGUGGGUAACCUGCCCAUCAGAAGGGGAUAACACUUGGAAACAGGUGCUAAUACCGUAUAACAAUCGAAACCGCAUGGUUUUGAUUUGAAAGGCGCUUUCGGGUGUCGCUGAUGGAUGGACCCGCGGUGCAUUAGCUAGUUGGUGAGGUAACGGCUCACCAAGGCCACGAUGCAUAGCCGACCUGAGAGGGUGAUCGGCCACAUUGGGACUGAGACACGGCCCAAACUCCUACGGGAGGCAGCAGUAGGGAAUCUUCGGCAAUGGACGAAAGUCUGACCGAGCAACGCCGCGUGAGUGAAGAAGGUUUUCGGAUCGUAAAACUCUGUUGUUAGAGAAGAACAAGGAUGAGAGUAACUGUUCAUCCCUUGACGGUAUCUAACCAGAAAGCCACGGCUAACUACGUGCCAGCAGCCGCGGUAAUACGUAGGUGGCAAGCGUUGUCCGGAUUUAUUGGGCGUAAAGCGAGCGCAGGCGGUUUCUUAAGUCUGAUGUGAAAGCCCCCGGCUCAACCGGGGAGGGUCAUUGGAAACUGGGAGACUUGAGUGCAGAAGAGGAGAGUGGAAUUCCAUGUGUAGCGGUGAAAUGCGUAGAUAUAUGGAGGAACACCAGUGGCGAAGGCGGCUCUCUGGUCUGUAACUGACGCUGAGGCUCGAAAGCGUGGGGAGCAAACAGGAUUAGAUACCCUGGUAGUCCACGCCGUAAACGAUGAGUGCUAAGUGUUGGAGGGUUUCCGCCCUUCAGUGCUGCAGCUAACGCAUUAAGCACUCCGCCUGGGGAGUACGACCGCAAGGUUGAAACUCAAAGGAAUUGACGGGGGCCCGCACAAGCGGUGGAGCAUGUGGUUUAAUUCGAAGCAACGCGAAGAACCUUACCAGGUCUUGACAUCCUUUGACCACUCUAGAGAUAGAGCUUCCCCUUCGGGGGCAAAGUGACAGGUGGUGCAUGGUUGUCGUCAGCUCGUGUCGUGAGAUGUUGGGUUAAGUCCCGCAACGAGCGCAACCCUUAUUGUUAGUUGCCAUCAUUUAGUUGGGCACUCUAGCAAGACUGCCGGUGACAAACCGGAGGAAGGUGGGGAUGACGUCAAAUCAUCAUGCCCCUUAUGACCUGGGCUACACACGUGCUACAAUGGGAAGUACAACGAGUCGCGAAGUCGCGAGGCUAAGCUAAUCUCUUAAAGCUUCUCUCAGUUCGGAUUGUAGGCUGCAACUCGCCUACAUGAAGCCGGAAUCGCUAGUAAUCGCGGAUCAGCACGCCGCGGUGAAUACGUUCCCGGGCCUUGUACACACCGCCCGUCACACCACGAGAGU
rnacentral:rRNA from 1 species